CCCAACCCAUUUUCAACUCAAUCAAGACCAGACCCCUUCUCUUUAACCAAACAGCCCUAAAGACAAACGAUCCUCUCCUCUCUGUCUUCCACCUCGCCGCCACCCCCCUUUACCCAUUAGACCAUCGGCUAAAGCCGAUUUCGGCGUCACUGACGCUGCCUCCCGUCAACCCCUGUCCCUUUCUCCCCUUUUCUUCAAGUGACAGAGCUUCGAACAGCUUGUCCAAAGUCGAAUCAGCCCCCAAAUCAAAAAGCACGCGAACAUCUUUGGGAUUCUGGACCGUUCUUCCAACAAUCAAUAGGGUAAAGGUUUUUUUCGGUCCAUGGAGCCUAAAACCAUGAAGAAUCCACUAAAUUCGGAGUCCCAACGAAUUUGUUGCCUUCAAAGCAAGGGUUGCUUGAAGCGGAUUCGGAGACUCGACGACGACAUUAGCCUCAGUUCGCUGUCCCGGAGAAGGUAAUCACAUUCGUCCUCCCUUCGUCUUUAAUUUUGUAGAAGUCAAAAUGUAGUCGUUUCGUUGUUUUGUCGUUCUCAGCAUUCCUUGGAGUUUGCUUGGCCGAAUCUGCCUAUACUUUAUCUGCUAUAAACAAACAUGAAAUAGUCAUGGCAAUCUAUUAGCGUUUAAAGAGAAUGAUCGUUGAACUUGCUGAAUAUAUGAGUAGUAGUGUCGCUUGUCUAAAAAACCUGUUUGUGGCAUCCCUUAUGGGUCUGUUUUAUCAUGUAAAAUCAGGAUGUAAAAUGGCUAAAAUAAAUCUUGAGUCUCAAAAACAAAAUGUCCUGAUUUGUUGGUAGUUAAUACUAGUCUACAUAUGGGUUCAAAUAAUCAUUUUGUUUCCGUUGGUUUGAAUCUGUCCACAUCCCGUAAUCUUUUUUUUUUUUUACCAUUAAGGCUGUAGCUAUAGACAGCUUGGAUCAUGUUUUAUCUUUCAUUCAUGUCUUCAAAACCAGUUCUAGUAUGGAUCAAUAUUAAGUUGUUCGUGUCAAAUAGCUAUUUUCCUACUUUCAUUUGGACAUGAGCAUGAAACUUUAUUUGUUUGAGGGCAUUGAAAAGUUAGCAUUGUCCCUGUUGUAGUUAGCUUAAAUAAAAUGGUUGAUAACAUAGCUGCUGCUAAUACGAUUUCCUAAAGCUCUACCAUAAAAUCCAUUUAGACCUUAUGACUAAAAAUAUCAUGCCGUGACUCCGUCUAGAGACCUAUAUGUGAAUAUAUGAUGCCUUAUAACUGAAAAGAACAGGUUAUUAAGUUUGAUCAAAUGAAAGGGUGAUAUUUUGUUCGAGAGAAAAAGUUAUUAUUUUUAAGGAAAGUUUACUGUUUUGAUAUAAAAAGAAAGCUACUGUUUUUUUUAACUAAAAAGCUACUGUUUUCAGGUUAAAAAGUUACUGUUUUGGUUGGGGAGAAUUACUGGUUUAAAAUAAUAAUAAUAAUAAUCUAAAAAUUGUUUGCUUGUCGAUUUACUUGUGUGAAUGAAACACCAGUACUAGAAUAUAGUAACUAUCUUGGUGUUCUUAUGAGUUGAUGAUGCGAACUUGCCUAAAGGCAAAAUUUUCAAAGAUUUGUGAGAACUUACGCUGUUUUUAUUUGAAAAGUAUAGGAGAUAACAUGAAGUACUAUAUCUUUUAUAAGCUUUGUUUUACGAACUGAACUGGCUUCUUGCUAAAAAUAAAAAAAAUCGGUUAUUUUGCCUCUAUUUUUUAUGAGUCAGUUUAUAAAAGGCUAACAUAGACUAUGGGCUUGUUAUGAUAAAUAAGUGAUUCGCUAGAAUAAAAAGAAGAAGAAAAUAGCUGUGUAUUAUUGAACUUGGGACUGUUUACUCUUUUGAGAAUGCAUGAGAUAAGUUGAAGUAUAAAAUUGUCUUAAGUCAAACCCAGCUGUGACUUGGAUCUGCUCUUGAACUAUCUCCCCUAAAGUUGCUAAAAUGCCAGGAGUAUGUAUUUGUCGUCUAACUGUUUAAAAAAUGAGGAUGUUUGGUUAAGUUGUAAUGCUGGGAAUGCUCAAGAUUACUUAACUUGCUAACUUAUAAAUGUUGAGAGUCUAGUAAUCAUGACUACCUAUUUGUUUUCUUGAAGUAUGAUAUGUAGUUUUCAGCAGUAAGUUGCCAAGGUUUCUCCCUAAGUUUGAUUUAAGUGUGGGUUGUUCAUACUUUUCUUUCUCGGACAAGCCGCUUGAAUUAAUUGAGUAACGUGUACGAGAAUCAGCCCAUGCAUGAAAACUUUUCAGUUGUACUUUUCUCAGAGACAGUCCUUAAGUCAAUUUGUCAUGUUCUUAAUUGAAUCCACCUCUUGGAAGGUUAGUAAGGGCCUUGUUUGUUGGUAAAAUUGGAUAAAAAUAAGGGAAAUAGUGGCAUAUUGUAUUCUGGUGAACAGUAGAAGUUGAGAAAUAAUGAUUGACGUAAUUAUUCUCGUGAGUAUGUUGUACACUUUGCCUUAAAAAAAAAAUAUUGACAGGGUGUGUUGAAUUGUAUGAAGGCUGUUGGCAUUGGUUGAAAGUGUUGUUUAAGCUUAACAUGUAAUUCUGUGUUAAAAUCUCUGUUCUAAAGAGUAAUCAUCCAUGUAGUUAAUUGAAGAAAGGAACAGCAUGUAAUACGGUUCUGUCUAUAUUAUGUAUAGAAAUUAGUGGCUUUGUGGGAUACAUUAAAGUAUGUUUUGUUCUCAUCUAAGCCAUUGGUUAAUCUAUUAGUUUGACAAUGCUUAACAUACCUUUACUAAUUCACAAAGGAGUGAAAGUUGUGUUUGAGUUGUCCAACUUUUAGGGAUGCCUUAGAACCUGAUCUCCUUCUUUGGUUCUAAUUCUUGCUUGCACUAUCGCAUACGGAGAUUUCUAUUUAAGCUAAGUGAUGAUGUCAAGUACAUGCUAAGUUAAUGUGAUUACACCGUUCAUUUGUGGCUGUCGCUUCGCCCCCUUUGUUUGAACAAUUAGAAUUUACCUGAAGUAUUAUGGGUUAAAACUAGUUGUGUGUCCAGUUUUUUCUUCUAUAAUGAUUUAUGUCAUACUAUGGGAAUGAUAUGCAUAUCUUAAAACCUCUAUCCUUCACAUGAAUAGUCAAGCAUCUACCUGCAAAAAUGGGCUAAAAAGUCAAUCAGUCUUUUCAUACUUAGAUAUAUUAAACUGCCAUUUGAACUCGUGUGUUUGAAUUAAUGGGACAGAUACAGUUUGGGUUUUGCUAAUAUAGUAUGAUGGUUGUGUGCACUGUUCUUCUAUGGCGUCACGGCAGUGUUAUUUCUCCUUCUUUUUUUUUUUGAAUAAAAUAAAAUAAAAAAUGAUUGUGUAUAUAUGUAGCAUUUCAAGUGUACACUGUGCGCUAUUGCAUAAUUUGAAUUUACGUAUUUAAAUUGAGAUUGUUUCUAAUCCUUAUCUUUAUCUUUGUUUUUUUUUUUUUAUGAGGAACCUUGGGAGCAGUUGGAGUUAUGAAAACUCUAGAAAACUCUAGACCCUUCUGCCCAUAUCAGAGAAGGCAACAGUAGCAGCCUAUGUCUCGUUCAUUAAUGUGUACCAGUCUCAAUUCCUCAUUCGUGUCAAGAGUCUCCGUCCUCCUUCCUCUCUUCGAACUUUAUGUCUUUGCGUAAACUUGUGUAUAUUCAUGUUGUUUAUAUUUUUGACUAACAUUUUAUGGAUUGUGUUUGUAGCAUAUUUGUGUCUUUGCUUGUGUAUGAACUUGCGGAGAAAUAGUUAAGUAUAGAAAUUUAAUCGUUUAUUUUUCU